rnacentral:rRNA from 1 species
AGGAUGAACGCUAGCGACAGGCCUAACACAUGCAAGUCGAGGGGCAGCACAAGGAGCAAUCUGAGGUGGCGACCGGCGCACGGGUGAGUAACACGUAUGCAACCUGCCUGUAAGCGGGGAAUAACCCGUUGAAAGACGGACUAAUACCGCAUAAUACUAAAUUACUGCAUGGUAAUUUAUUUAAACAUUUAUGGCUUACAGAUGGGCAUGCACAUGAUUAGCUAGUUGGAGAGGUAACGGCUCCCCAAGGCAACGAUCAUUAGGGGUUCUGAGAGGAAGGUCCCCCCACACUGGUACUGAGACACGGACCAGACUCCUACGGGAGGCAGCAGUGAGGAAUAUUGGUCAAUGGACGAGAGUCUGAACCAGCCAAGUCGCGUGCAGGAAGAAUUGUCCUAUGGAUUGUAAACUGCUUUUGCAGGGGAAUAAAGUGCAUCACGUGUGAUGUUUUGUAUGUACUCUGCGAAUAAGGAUCGGCUAACUCCGUGCCAGCCGCGGC